GCAUUAAAGAAACUCACAUACAGAAACUAAAAAACAACAUAACCUAAUAAAACGAAUGAAGAAAUGAAUCGACUAAAAAUAAGAAUUUCUGGCCUGAAACCUUUCCUUCUUCUCUGUCAUUCGAAAAGAUUAUCAUGUAUCAGCCAUUUGAGAGACUGAAUCUUCUCCAAAAAAAUCAUACUUUUCUAAACCUCAGUCUCUAAUAAGGUAACGAGUUCAUCGGACAGACUCAAAGUCACAAAGUCCGGACUCUAUUUUUCCAUUUAACCACCGUCGUUGUAGCUUCUUCUAUCAUGAAUUACCAGUCCUUCCACCGCGUACAGAACCUCUUCUAUCUAGUAUUGGGGAUCUUCAUAUUUUCUUCCUUCUAUCGCCAUCUUGUGAGUCGCUUUGUUGGCUUCCUUAGAGGAGUUUAGUUUUUGUAUUAUGGACAAUGCAUCUCAUUCCACACAAAUGUCUUGGAAACCCAUUUCCUCCGCCAUAGUGAGUGCUUGUAGACACGCCCUUGCUUCACAAGAUCUGGAAUAUUCUCCCAUGAGAAGUGCAAUCUCUAAAAUGAUGGCUCACAGUUUCCUUGUCGGCUUGACACACCGGACAAAGUGUAUUUGCAACCAGUUUACGGGUUCUUAGGUUGUGCAAAGUGGGCAUGAACUCAUUUGCUAUUCUCCACAUGAGUAUACGGAUUUUGCUUGGUAUCUUGAGACCCCAUAGCUUUGUAAAGAAAGUAGAAUUAAUUUCAUUAUGUAACCUAGGAUUCCCCGGUGUAUUAGCCCAUUUGUAGCCACUUUUCACUAUGUAAAUCCCUGUAUUGUCACCUCUCCAUAUUAGUUUAUCAUGCGGUCUGCUACUCACCAAUGGGAUUGAAAGAAUACUUUUCAGCUGCUCCUCUCCAAAUAAUGAUCGGAUAGUGUUUUGCUUCCAGGUAGAAGUUUCCUAUCAAUUAAGCCAGAAACAAUAGUAUAUCUAAUAUCUAUGUUCUGACAUUGUAUUCUUCCACUUCUAUGCCUCGGUAACCACACAUCGUUCCAUAUAUUAA